rnacentral:rRNA from 1 species
AUUGAACGCUGGCGGCAGGCCUAACACAUGCAAGUCGAACGAAACGCGUACGGGUUAGUAAUGUCUGGGCCCCUGCCCGGUGGAUGGGGAUAACUAAUGGAAGCGGUAACUAAAACCGCACACCAUCGGCUGUGCCCAGAUGGGAUUAGCUAGUAGGUGGGGUAACGGCUCACCAAGGCCACGAUCCCUAGCUGGUCUGAGAGGAGGACCAGCCACACUGGAACUGAGACACGGCCCAGACUCCUACGGGAGGCAGCAGUGGGGAAUAUUGGACAAUGGGCGAAAGCCUGAUGCAGCCAUGCCGCGUGUGUGAAGAAGGCCUUCGGGUUGUAAAGCACUUUCAGCAGGGAGGCGUUACCCGCAGAAGAAGCACCGGCUAACUCCGUGCCAGCAGCCGCGGUAAUAC